UCUCCGUAGGUGAACCUGCGGAAGGAUCAUUAUUGUAUAACCGAGGUGCGAGGGUUGUCGCUGACCCGAAAGGUCGUGCACGCCCGAGUGCCCUCACACACAUCCAUCUCACCCCUAUGUGCACCACCGCGUGGGUCCCCCUUUGGCUUGUUCGGAGGGGGGCUUACGUUUUCACACAAACUUUGUAUGCAGUGUAGAAUGUAUCUUUUGUUUUUGCGAUCACGCAAUCAAUACAACUUUCAACAACGGAUCUCUUGGCUCUC
rnacentral:misc_RNA from 1 species